AUUGAACGCUGGCGGCAUGCCUUACACAUGCAAGUCGAACGGCAGCAUGGGUGCUUGCACCUGAUGGCGAGUGGCGAACGGGUGAGUAAUGCAUCGGAACGUACCCGGAAGUGGGGGAUAACGUAGCGAAAGUUACGCUAAUACCGCAUAUUCUGUGAGCAGGAAAGUGGGGGAUCGCAAGACCUCGCGCUUCCGGAGCGGCCGAUGUCGGAUUAGCUAGUUGGCGGGGUAAAGGCCCACCAAGGCAACGAUCCGUAGCGGGUCUGAGGGGAUGGUCCGCCACACUGGGACUGAGACACGGCCCAGACGCCUACGGGAGGCAGCAGUGGGGAAUUUUGGACAAUGGGGGCAACCCUGAUCCAGCCAUGCCGCGUGAGUGAAGAAGGCCUUCGGGUUGUAAAGCUCUUUCGGCCGGGAAGAAAUCGCACAGGUUAAUACCUUGUGUGGAUGACGGUACCGGAAUAAGAAGCACCGGCUAACUACGUGCCAGCCGCCGCCGUAACAC
rnacentral:rRNA from 1 species